GGGUUUGGGGUGUUACAUUAUCGCUUAGCACAACCACUCAUGCAAACAUGAAAACCAUAUGCAAGAUCUCAUAUUCUCGGUAAUCACCCAUUUCUUUUAAAUAUCAUAUUCCAUCAAAUUUCUAUUAACAUCAAAUUCAAUACAAUUAUAACAAAUUAUAUUUCAUGUAUAUCAAUAAUAACAUGAAUAAUAGGCUUAUUAAAUCACGCGAACUUACCUCGGAUCCAG
rnacentral:lncRNA from 1 species